UCUGGAUGAGUUGCGAACGGGUUGAGUAACGCGUAGGUAACCUGCCUGAUAGCGGGGGAUAACUAUUGGAAACGAUAGCUAAUACCGCAUAAGAGGUAAUAACACAUGUUAUUGGUUUAAAAGGGGCAACUGCUCCACUAUCAGAUGGACCUGCGUUGUAUUAGCUAGUUGGUAAGGUAACGGCUUACCAAGGCGACGAUACAUAGCCGACCUGAGAGGGUGAUCGGCCACACUGGGACUGAGACACGGCCCAGACUCCUACGGGAGGCAGCAGUAGGGAAUCUUCGGCAAUGGGGGCAACCCUGACCGAGCAACGCCGCGUGAGUGAAGAAGGUUUUCGGAUCGUAAAGCUCUGUUGUAAGAGAAGAACGGAUGUGGGAGUGGAAAAUCCAUGUCGUGACGGUAUCUUACCAGAAAGGGACGGCUAACUACGUG
rnacentral:rRNA from 1 species